GACGGAGGGUGCAAGCGUUAAUCGGAUUUAUUGGGCGUAAAGGGCGCGUAGGCGGGGAUAUAAGUCAGAUGUGAAAUCCCGGGGCUCAACUCCGGAACGGCAUUUGAAACUAUAUUCCUUGAGGGUAGAAGGAGAGAACGGAAUUCCACGUGUAGCGGUGAAAUGCGUAGAUAUGUGGAAGAACACCGGUGGCGAAGGCGGUUCUCUAUUUUAUUCCUGACGCUGAGGCGCGAAAGCAAGGGGAUCAAACAGG
rnacentral:misc_RNA from 1 species